GCAAGGGCGCCCCGGCUUACCGAGCAGGCCCCCGUAGGAAGACGUCUGCUUGGGCGGGACGCCAAAGAACAGCUGUCCUAUGCGGUCGAGAGAAACCUGGAAAUGAGAACAUGCUGCUGGUGGAAGGGCUGGAGGACACAGCUUCUGCCCGCACAGGCGCCAGCCUCCGACACGUCCUUCCCAAGCUUGUGCGCCCAUGUUCCCGCGGCCCCAGGCCAUGGAGGCACCCAGUGCUUCACGUGUGUCUCCCCUCACGUGCAGGGCACACCAGGGAAGCCUGCAAUUCACAGGUGAAGAGAAUGAAGCUUGGGAAGGUGACCAGGCUCUGGAGCCGGGCCCCAGCCUGAGCCCCGACUACGUGACGGACUGAGCAGGCUCUCCUCUCCUGAGGCCACCCGCACCCAUCAGGCGCUGACCCGCACCAGAACACUCGGCCACAGCCCAGCAGCUGGCGGGUGCCGCACAGACCCUGGCUUCUGUUCAAGGAGGACCCACAGGGAGGGCUCAGUACCCCAGGGGCAGGGCCGUCAGCCCAGAGAAAACAUGUACACAGCAUGGUGCAGAGCCAGGGACCUCCGGGUUUGACCCAGCCUUUCACUUAAGUCACGGACACCAGCUCCUGGCAAAGCUCUGUGGUGGGCAGCGCUGAGGUCAGUGGGUGUCUGUCCCCAAAUCCUACAUCAAAUCCCCAACACCCGCCUUGAAAUCCGUAUUUGUUCUGUGGGAAGAAACUGACGGGCACAGAUAAGGCAUUCGUGAGAAAGGAAGCGAAGGCCAGCACCUGAAGCAGGCAGCGCCCCGGAGCCCGGCCUGCAGGACGCCCCAGCGAGCUGGCGGGAGGGGCCGCGGGGUAGAUGCUCACAAUUCUAUGAACCGCGUGUGCGUUUCCACGUUUCCAGAUACUGUGGGAAAGAACUGGCCGAGGCAGGCCUGAGUACAGCAGAGACCGCGGGGCCUCCCGGCAGUGGCGAGAGGGGCACAUGUAGAGCACUCCAGUGCCCGUCGGGAAAGGGGGAGUUUCUAAAAUACUUCUUAAAAUUGGUUAAACUUAUGAAAAAUCAUGGGUCACUCUGGCUGACAAGUGCACUGUGGGCUCUGCCCAGAGUAAACUGUUUAUCCUGCAGCUCAGCUUGGACAGGGGACAAGGGGACCUGCUCUAAGGCCGCCCGGCCAAGGCAGCGAUGGAAGCCAAGACCCGAAGAGCCACAGACACCUACUGUAGCACAGCCUGGGCCACGAACAUGUCCACCUCGCUGCGGAAGCCACGGGACGUGGAAUACUCCACCAGCAUGUUGGCACAGCCCUCCCCGUCCGCUGAGUGCAGAAAAUGAUACCGCGACUCACAAUAGUUUUGCUCUGCAAAGGAAAGACAGAAAAAUUUAAAUACAUUUCAUGAAUAUAACACAGAAAA